AACCCCCCUGCCACAGGCAGGGUUGCCAACCUCCAGAACUGAGAAGAACACUCAGUCCAGCUAUCAGUCUAAUUAGAAUUGGAAGUCACGUUCAUUUAUAGAGAUGGAGAAAACAAAACCCAGAGGGGCUAUAUUUGUGCCAGCUCUCAAACACCAAAGCAUUCAUUAACUCAGUCAUCUUUACAUCUCUGUCACAAUCAGGAUAUCUUGGUUUAUGUCAUCUCUGCAAUCUCAGACAAAGCAAAAGACAGUGGAAGAGGAGGAUGUGGGUUGAAGAAUGUUAUGUCAAGUACUAACAGCUGGCAGGAAAACAUCCUGGUUUUAGCAUGUGGCUGUGAAGAAGAAAGAGCAAAGGUACUGAGACAAAUUGCUGUCCAUCCUUUUGAAAUUUGAAAUGAGGAACUGAAAUUCUCCCAGACAAAUAAUCAGAGUGGGAUUCUGACCUGACAGCUAUAAAUCUAGUGAGAUGCUAACAGCGGAUCCUCAGUGCUCCUGGUUAUACUCAGCCAACAAGCAUGAAUGAAAACUUGGAGUGAGUUCUGUCUCUGAUGCUGAUCACUUCUGCCGUAGGUGUAACAUCAGAAGCUCAUUAAACACACUUUAAAGGACCCCAUCCACAUUUUCACACUAUGAAUUUCAAUAAAUCUUUGUUGUAAAUGA